rnacentral:rRNA from 1 species
GGAUACUUCUGCUCAAAUGUUUUUUAAAUUGCUGUGGUAUUUUGACUAUACAAAGGUAUUGAAAUAAGAUUUUAAUUGAAUGCUAAGAGAAUGGACUCUCAGAGAAAAACUUUUUUUAAAUUAAAAAUUGAAAUUUUUUUAAUUUGUGUAGAAACAAUUAUUAAUAUUAAGGACAAGAAGACCCUAUGAAUUUAUUAAAUUUCAUUCAAUAUGUAAUUACUAUUGAAGAAAUUUUGGCUGGGGCGGCUAAAAAAUAUUUUAAACUUUUUAAAAAUAAAACGACCCAUUAUUAAUGAUUAUAUGUUAAAUACUCUAGGGAUAACAGCGUUAUAUUUUUUGAUAGACCAUAUUGACAAAAAAGUUUGCGACCUCGAUGUUGGAUUAGGAUACUUUUUUAAUGCAGAUAUUAAAAAAAGAAGUUUGUUCAACUUUCAAUUUCCUACUUGAUCUGAGUUCAGACCGGAAUAAUUAU